rnacentral:rRNA from 1 species
GAUGAACGCUAGCUACAGGCUUAACACAUGCAAGUCGAGGGGAAACGAUAGAGAAAGCUUGCUUUUUCUAGGCGUCGACCGGCGCACGGGUGAGUAACGCGUAUCCAACCUGCCCACCACUUGGGGAUAACCUUGCGAAAGUAAGACUAAUACCCAAUGAUAUCUCAAGAAGACAUCUGAAUGAGAUUAAAGAUUUAUCGGUGAUGGAUGGGGAUGCGUCUGAUUAGCUUGUUGGCGGGGUAACGGCCCAACAAGGCGACGAUCAGUAGGGGUUCUGAGAGGAAGGUCCCCCACAUUGGAACUGAGACACGGUCCAAACUCCUACGGGAGGCAGCAGUGAGGAAUAUUGGUCAAUGGGCGAGAGCCUGAACCAGCCAAGUAGCGUGCAGGAUGACGGCCCUAUGGGUUGUAAACUGCUUUUAUAAGGGAAUAAAGUGAGUCUCGUGAGACUUUUUGCAUGUACCUUAUGAAUAAGGACCGGCUAAUUCCGUGCCAGCCGCCGCGGUAA